AUUGAACGCUGGCGGCAGGCUUAACACAUGAAAGUCGAGCGAGCGGCGGACGGGUGAGUAAUGUCUGGGAAACUGCCUGAUGGAGGGGGAUAACUACUGGAAACGGUAGCUAAUACAGCAUACCAUCAGAUGUGCCCAGAUGGGAAUGGCUAGGAGGUGGGGUAAUGGCUCACAUAGGCGACGAUCCCUUGCUUGUGUGAGAGGAUGAACAGCCACACGGGAACUGAGACACGGUCCAGACUCCGACGGGAGGCAGCAGUGGGGAAUAUUGCACAAUGGGCGAAAGCCUGAUGCAGCCAUGCCGCGUGUGUGCAGAAGGCCUUCGGGUUGUAAAGCACUUUCAGCGAGGAGGCGUUACUCGCAGAAGAAGCACCGGCUAACUCCGUGCCAGCCGCCGCGGUAAUUC
rnacentral:rRNA from 1 species